rnacentral:rRNA from 1 species
UAAUACGUAGGGUGCGAGCGUUAAUCGGAAUUACUGGGCGUAAAGCGUGCGCAGGCUGUUUUGUAAGUCAGAUGUGAAAUCCCCGAGCUCAACUUGGGAACUGCGUUUGAAACUACAAGACUAGAAUAGGUCAGAGGGGGGUAGAAUUCCACGUGUAGCAGUGAAAUGCGUAGAGAUGUGGAGGAAUAUCAAUGGCGAAGGCAGCCCCCUGGGAUCAUAUUGACGCUCAUGCACGAAAGCGUGGGGAGCAAACAGGAUUAGAUACCCUGGUAGUCCACGCCCUAAACGAUGUCUACUAGUUGUUGGUGGAGUAAAAUCCAUGAGUAACGCAGCUAACGCGUGAAGUAGACCGCCUGGGGAGUACGGUCGCAAGAUUAAAACUUAAAUGAAUUGACGG